AAUAACGUGGGCAGAAGUUUUAAAAAAACCUAAUUUUAAUUUCUCUUUUCCCUCAAUUUCCCCACAUUUUCUCCUUCUCCUUACAAACUCUUCUCCUCCCUCUUCUCUUUUUGAUAAACAAUACCCCUGCACACGGCGUUCUCUCGAUUAUUUGUAACCCCACCUAUAGGUGUCGUUUGACGUCCUUCUACUACCGUCGGACGUCGGACAAAGAGAUUGUUGAACAUGUCGAAUGCCGCUGCCAUAACCUACUUGUUGAAUACUCUGAACGAUUUUAUUUUCUGAAGAUAUAAAACAUAACAAACCCAGUUGUGCACUAUGGACAAUUUUGUUUCCUUCUUGCAAUCACUCUAAAAAGACCCAUCGCUAUUUUUAUUGUAGUUAUGGUUAAAUUGGCAGUAAUUGUUUUUCAAAGUGGUCAAUGGGAUGAGCAACAUUACUACGUGGAUUACAAAACAAAUUGUGUUUUGGUUGAUGGAGUGAUAUCAUCAUUUGAUUCUUUUGUGAACUUGAUUCAUACUAAAAUUCAGGUUGAGUCAUGUAUUGAAUUUUCAGUUUUAAUUUGUUGACUAUAGGCGAUAAUGAUGUUCAACAUGUUAUUAAGAUUGUAAACAUACCAUAACAACUGUAUCGACAAUACAUAAAGUGUAUCAUGCUUAGUGCAUCAGGUGUAUUUAAUUAAUUGAGUGUAUCAACAGUGUGUAUCAACAACA